UUAGAACAUAAUAUGCACACGAUAACUUAUUCAAAACUGACACAUGCUGCAGUGGAAACUCUUUUACCAGAAUUCUCAUAUUUUAAUCUCUACGAUAAAAAUAGAGAGAAUGACUAAUCAAAAUAACAGAACCAGCAGUGACAGAACAAUUUCACAAAACAAUUAAAAUAACAAAUGAAAUAAGGUUUAUAUACAAGCAAGUAAAGAAAUUUCACGUUUCCUGACUUCUUUUCCUUUACAAAUCCAGUUCUAAACAUCAAAUCUUAUUUCUUUUUUUGGGAGAGGUAACUGUAGCCCCAUACUAAGCUAGAGUCAAGACAUCAAAUCUGAGUUACUGUUUUUGGAAUUUUCUGAAAAUGAGCACUUUCUUAAAUACCAACUUCAAAAAAAAUCAUUUCAGAAGUAAGAAAUCAAUUGGAAAAAAGUAGAACCAGACACAAUUUUAUAGCAGUAAAUAAAUUAAUAAAACAUGGGUUCCAAAGAAUAAAAAAACGCAAACUGAAAUUUUGAGAAAGAUUAUUAAUAAAAUAAAAAUAAAAAAUUUCUGCAAAUUACUAAUGAAACUAGAGAAUGAGAGGGGGGGAAAGUGUAAUGAUUAAUUAAGAAAAUUGUACCUCUUAUACACUGGCAAUGGCGAUCGAGCAGACAAAGAGAUUUCAAUGUUCGUACGGGAGAGAAAGAUGAAAUAACACAAGGAACAAACCCUCUAAAAAAAAGCCAAAUUGCAAAGAGACUUAAAUGGACCACAUAAAACCUAGAAAUCGUCCAAGGUCAAAACCCAGAACGAGUUGAUGGAUAAUAGUUAAGGGUUUAC
rnacentral:lncRNA from 1 species